CUGGCCCUGAAUCGAGGCCAGUGGCUUCUUGACACGGUUCGUUUCAAGCAGGUUCCUAAAGAGAUGUCUUUCUAUGGUCUGUGGGGCAUUUCAGAACUUGGGCAGUGAAAUGGUUUUUCAUUAGAAAAAAGCAGCU
ensembl:snoRNA small nucleolar RNA SNORA2/SNORA34 family